rnacentral:rRNA from 1 species
AUUGAACGCUGGCGGCAUGCCUUACACAUGCAAGUCGAACGGCAGCGCGGACUUCGGUCUGGCGGCGAGUGGCGGACGGGUGAGUAAUGUAUCGGAACGUACCAUUCAGUGGGGGAUAACGCAGCGAAAGUUGCGCUAAUACCGCAUAUUCUGUGCGCAGGAAAGCAGGGGAUCGCAAGACCUUGCGCUGAUUGAGCGGCCGAUAUCAGAUUAGCUAGUUGGUGAGGUAAAGGCUCACCAAGGCGACGAUCUGUAGCGGGUCUGAGAGGAUGAUCCGCCACACUGGAACUGAGACACGGUCCAGACUCCUACGGGAGGCAGCAGUGGGGAAUUUUGGACAAUGGGCGCAAGCCUGAUCCAGCCAUGCCGCGUGAGUGAAGAGGGCCUUCGGGUUGUAAAGCUCUUUCGGCCGGGAAGAAAUCGUAUGGGUUAAUACCCUGUGCGGAUGACGGUACCGGCAUAAGAAGCACCGGCUAACUACGUGCCAGCCGCCGCAGUAAUAC